CCUACGGGUGGCAGCAGUGGGGAAUAUUGGGCAAUGGGCGCAAGCCUGACCCAGCAACGCCGCGUGAAGGAAGAAGGCUUUCGGGUUGUAAACUUCUUUUCUCAGGGACGAAGAAAGUGACGGUACCUGAGGAAUAAGCCACGGCUAACAACGUGCCAGCAGCCGCGGUAAUACGUAGGGGGCAAGCGUGAUCCGGAUUGAUUGGGGGUAAAGGGGGUGUAGGUGGGAGAGCAAGUCAGAUGUGAAAACGGCGGGGUUAACCCCGAGACUGCAUGUGAAAUUGUGUUUCUUGAGGACAGGGGAGGGCAGCGGAAGUCGGGGGGUAGAGGUGAAAGGCGGAGAUAGAAGGAAGAACA
rnacentral:rRNA from 1 species